rnacentral:lncRNA from 1 species
CGAGUAGCUGGGAUUACAGACACCCACUGACACUCCCAGCUAAUUUUUGUGUUUUUAGUAGAGACUGUGUUUCACCGUGUUAGUCAGACUGGUCUGGAACUCCCGACCUCAGGUGAUCCACCUGCCUCGGCCCCCAGAGUGUUGGGAUUACAGGUGUGAGCCACCACACCCCGGCCACAUCUGUAGUGACUUUCUAAAGGACAUGCUACACUAUUUUUUCAGUAAUGAUUUCAGGAUACCAUUCUAAUUGUGUAAAUCACUUUAGUUUAAAAGUUCUGUCUCUAGCAGUUGAGGGAUUUGUCCAUAAGCAAAUUUGUUAAAUAUGAAUAUUCUAGUCUACAACUGAUGGUUUUGAUAUACUCUGUGAUCUUACAAUGUACUAACACUUUUUAAAAAGUUUUGGCACUUUCCAUAUUAUCGUGGCUUUUGUAAUUAAAAAUAGUUUGAAUACACAUGGUUUAAAAUGUUUAAAGGACAGAGGAAUAUAACACAAAACAUAAAUAUAGAGUAUCUUGCCCCUCAGUGCCCUUCUGUUCCGUACUGAGUGCAUGAAAAAUUACAAUUUAGAACAUGACCUAAUAAAAUCGUAAGUUAGUACUCCAGACCUCGGUGCCUCGGAGGAAUGGGAUCAUCAUUUUUAAUUCUGCAAGUCUUUAACUUGGGGGUUUACACACUAAAUGAUCCAGACUCACUAGUGUGUUAUUUGAG